AUGAAUUAUGAGUUUAAUAGAUCCUCUUUAGCAGAAAGACGUAUAUUCCUUGCUCAUUAUCAGAAAAUCACUUAUUCCCAAACCUUGUGUGGGACUAAUCGUUUUCAUUUACCAUCUCAUGGAAAACCCUUUUCAUUCCCCUUAACCCUAUCGGGUAUUUUAGUGAUAGGUUCUGUAGGAACUGGAUAAUCCUAUUUGGUCAAAUACCUAACGAAAAAUUACGAUUUUCCUUUCAUUAAGGUACGAGGGCUUCUUAUUCCACAAGAACGAAAGCACCUUUUCAUUCUUUCAUAUACUAGGGGUUUUUACUUGGAAAAGACAAUGUUCCAUACUAAAGGAUUCGGGUCCAUAACCACGAGUUCCAGUGCACUAGAUCUUGUAGCACUUAGCAACGAAGCCCUAUCCAUUAGUAUUCCACAUAAGAAAUCCAUUCUAGAAAAUACAAUUAGAUUAGCUCUUCAUAGACAAACUUGGGGUUUGCGAGCCAAGGUAAGAUCGGCUCGGGAUCAUGGGACCCUUUUCUAUCAGAUAGGAGGGGCUCUUGUACAAAAUAGACUUACUACGUAA
rnacentral:rRNA from 1 species